rnacentral:misc_RNA from 1 species
ACCACACAGAAGGACUAGCAUAUAAUAAAGUUGCCCUAACAAGUAAGUGAGCAACCUUAUUAGCUUGUCUACAAGUCCACGCGAGGGACAUAUUCACUCCUUGAAAAUAAAGGAGUUUACAAUUGGAAAUGACUUACCAAAUUCAGUCUAGUUGACAUCAGAGAAAUUCAUAGCAUUUAGAACUUCUUUACAAUCAGUUUCAAUAAAAAUAUGGUGCGGAAACUCAUGAAGGAGCCACUUGAUAGUCUCUCUCAAAGCCAAA